rnacentral:rRNA from 1 species
GGCCUCUUGCAAUCCAUAAAUAAGAGGUCCAGCCUGCCCAGUGACGAUAAGUUUAACGGCCGCGGUAUUUUAACCGUGCUAAGGUAGCGUAAUCACUUGUCUUUUAAAUGAAGACCCGUAUGAAAGGUGUCACGAGGGCCCUCCUGUCUCCUACUUCAAGUCUGUGAAAUUCAUCUGCCCGUGCAGAAGCGGGCAUAACAACAUAAGACGAGAAGACCCUGUGGAGCUUAAGACUAAUCAACCAACCGUGCCUAGAAGCUCUCUGCCCAACAGCAACAAAAAGCCAAACAAGCAUAACGAACUAUGGUUGAACUGUCUUCGGUUGGGGCGACCAUGGGGGACAAAAAAGCCCCCAAGAGGAAAUAGGGGACCAGAUAACUGAUCCCUAAGAGCCAAGAGCCACUACUCUAAGCAACAGAAUACUCUGACCAAUAAUGAUCCAGACACAAGCCUGAUCAACGAACCAAGUUACCCCAGGGAUAACAGCGCAAUCCUUUCCCAGAGCCCAUAUCGCCGAAAGGGUUUACGACCUCGAUGUUGGAUCAGGACAUCCUGGUGGCGAAAAUUCUACCAAGGGUUCGUUUGUUCAACGAUUAAAGUCCU